rnacentral:misc_RNA from 1 species
CUUGAAUGUAGAUUAGACUUGAGAAUCUUUAAAAGUUCAGGAAAUAUUUCGUAAUGUUUUGGUAAGUGUAUUUGGACAUAGACACAGUUGUAGUAGAGUGCUUUGUUGGUUUGAAUCUAGGACUCAUUUAAAAUCUGAAGAUGCAUUCACAGUUUUAGAGAGUAAUUUAGAGGUUUGUCUUUUAGGCAAAGAAUUUACUCCGUAGACAAUUUAGAUUUUAACUGAUUAUAAUGAAAGAACUUUUAAGACUUUCAGAUUCAUAAAUACUGGCUUUGGG